rnacentral:rRNA from 1 species
CUCGGCAAAUUAUCCUCAUAAGUUAGACGAUAUGAAGAACCAUUAAUAUUAUUAUUAUAAUAGUACUUUAUAUAAAUUAAAAUAAAAUUUAUAUGAUAUAUGGUGUCACUAAAUCGGAGGCCCCGACUGUUUACUAAAAACACAGCUUUCUGCAACGGAUAAUAUCUUUGUAUAGAAAGCGAAUUUUGCCCAAUGCCAUUAAUAUAAGGUUGGUAAGCGCUUCGCGUAAUUACUAAUUGAAGUUCUGGUCAAUGGCGGUCUUAUCAAUGAGGAUCCUAAGGUAGCAAAAUUAAUUGUCCAUUAAAUGUGGUCCUGACUGAAUAAAGUAACGAUGGUCUCACUGUCUCUACAAGUAUCUCAGUGAAAUUGAAUUAGCCGUGCAGAUGCGGUUUAACUUCGGUUAGACGGGAAGACCCUAUGCAGCUUCUACUG